rnacentral:rRNA from 1 species
GAUGAACGCUGGCGGCGUACCUAAUACAUGCAAGUCGAGCGAACAGACGAGGAGCUUGCUCCUCUGACGUUAGCGGCGGACGGGUGAGUAACACGUGGAUAACCUACCUAUAAGACUGGGAUAACUUCGGGAAACCGGAGCUAAUACCGGAUAAUAUAUUGAACCGCAUGGUUCAAUAGUGAAAGACGGUUUUGCUGUCACUUAUAGCUGGAUCCGCGCCGCAUUAGCUAGUUGGUAAGGUAACGGCUUACCAAGGCGACGAUGCGUAGCCGACCUGAGAGGGUGAUCGGCGACACUGGAACUGAGACACGGUCAAGACGCCUAAGGGAGGCAGCAGUAGGGAAUCGGCCGCAAUAGGCGAAAGCAUGACGGAGCAACGCCGAGUGAGUGAUGAAGGUCUUCGGAUCGUAAAACUCGGUUAUUAGGGAAGAACAAAUGUGAAAGGAAAUAUGCACGUCUUGACGGUACCUAAUCAGAAAGCCACGGCUAACUACGUG